rnacentral:rRNA from 1 species
AUUGAACGCUGGCGGCAGGCCUAACACAUGCAAGUCGAACGAGUGGCGGACGGGUGAGUAAUGUCUGGGAAACUGCCUGAUGGAGGGGGCUAACUACUGGAAACGGUAUCUAAUACCGAAUACAAUCGUAUUUGCCCAUAUGGGAUUAGAUAGUAGGUGGGGUAAAGGCUCACCUGGGCGAAACUCCCUCGCUGGUCUGAGAGGAUGACCAGCAACACGGGAACUGAGACACGGUCCAGACUCUUACGGGAGGCAGCAGUGGGGAAUAUUGCACAAUGGGCGCAAGCCGGAUGCAGCCAUGCCGCGUGUAUGAAGAAGGCCUUCGGGUUGUAAAGUACUUUCAGCCGGGAGGCGUUACCCGCAGAAGAAGCACCGGCUAACUCCGUGCCAGCAGCCGCGGUAAUAC